rnacentral:rRNA from 1 species
ACUCCUACGGGAGGCAGCAGUGGGGAAUUUUGGACAAUGGGCGAAAGCCUGAUCCAGCAAUGCCGCGUGAGUGAAGAAGGCCUUCGGGUUGUAAAGCUCUUUUGUCAGGGAAGAAACGGUGAGAGCUAAUAUCUCUUGCUAAUGACGGUACCUGAAGAAUAAGCACCGGCUAACUACGUGCCAGCAGCCGCGGUAAUACGUAGGGUGCAAGCGUUAAUCGGAAUUACUGGGCGUAAAGCGUGCGCAGGCGGUUUUGUAAGUCUGAUGUGAAAUCCCCGGGCUCAACCUGGGAAUUGCAUUGGAGACUGCAAGGCUAGAAUCUGGCAGAGGGGGGUAGAAUUCCACGUGUAGCAGUGAAAUGCGUAGAUAUGUGGAGGAACACCGAUGGCGAAGGCAGCCCCCUGGGUCAAGAUUGACGCUCAUGCACGAAAGCGUGGGGAGCAAACAGGAUUAGAAACCCGAGUAGUCCCAUGA